rnacentral:rRNA from 1 species
CCUACGGGUGGCAGCAGUGAGGAAUAUUGGUCAAUGGGCGCGAGCCUGAACCAGCCAAGUAGCGUGAAGGAUGACUGCCCUACGGGUUGUAAACUUCUUUUAUAAAGGAAUAAAGUGAGGCACGUGUGCCUUUUUGUAUGUACUUUAUGAAUAAGGAUCGGCUAACUCCGUUCCAGCAGCCGCGGUAAUCCGGAGGAUCCGAGCGUUAUCCGGGUUUAUUGGGUUUAAAGGGAGCGUAGAGGGGUUAUUAAGGCAGGUGGGAAAGUUUGCGGCUCAACCGUAACCUUGCAAUUGAUACUGGCAGACUUGAGUACAGUUGAGGUGGGCGGAAUUCGUGGUGUAGCGGUGAAAUGCUUAGAUAUAACGAAGAACUCCGAUUGCGAAGGCAGCUUACUAAACUGCAACUGACAUUGAGGCUCGAAAGUGUGGGUAUCAAACAGGAUUAGAUACCCUAGUAGUC